GACGAACGCUGGCGGCGUGCUUAACACAUGCAAGUCGAAUGAAGUGGCGAACGGGUGAGUAACGCGUAAUCAACCUGCCCUUCAGAGGGGGACCACAGUUGGAAACGACUGCUAAUACCGCAUAUUGCAGGAGGGGCUUGCGUCUGAUUAGGUAGUUGGAGGGGUAACGGCCAACCCGGGCGAUGAUCAGUAGCCGGUCUGAGAGGAUAAACGGCCACAUUGGGACUGAGACACGACCCAGACUCCGACGGGAGGUAGCAGUGGGGAAUCUUCAGCAAUGGAAGAAAGUCUGACGGAGAAACGCCGCGUGAGUGAUGACGGCCUUCGGGUUGUAAAGCUCUGUUAAUCGGGACGCGGUACCGGAAUAGAAAGCCACGGCUAACUACGUGCCAGCAGCCGCGGUAAUUC
rnacentral:rRNA from 1 species